rnacentral:misc_RNA from 1 species
GUGAAUCAUCAAAUUUUUGAACGCAAAUUGCACUCUCUGGUAUUCCGGAGCGUAUUCCUGUUUGAGGGUCAGUUUAAAUAAAAAUCGGGGUGGUUGCUGCUUUCCGUGGUGACGCACCGGAUUUGGGUCGUCUUGCCUUCUGUUAAGUGACCUAAAAAUUUGCAUGAUCUUUUUCGAAAGUAUUUAAAUGUUUUUACGUACGUUUGCGAUAUCGAA